GCCUAACACAUGCAAGUCGAACGGAGUUAUUUUGAUUGAUUCCUUCGGGAUGAUUGAUUUUUAACUUAGUGGCGGACGGGUGAGUAACGCGUGAGUAACCUGCCUUUGAGAGGGGGAUAACGUUCUGAAAAGAACGCUAAUACCGCAUGACAUAUCGAAGCCGCAUGACUUUGAUAUCAAAGAUUUAUCGCUCAAAGAUGGACUCGCGUCCGAUUAGUUAGUUGGUGAGGUAACGGCUCACCAAGACCGCGAUCGGUAGCCGGACUGAGAGGUUGAACGGCCACAUUGGGACUGAGACACGGCCCAGACUCCUACGGGAGGCAGCAGUGGGGGAUGUUGCGCAAUGGGGGCAACCCUGACGCAGCAACGCCGCGUGAAGGAUGAAGGUUUUCGGAUUGUAAACUUCUUUUGUUAGGGACGAACUCUGACGGUACCUAACGAAUAAGCUCCGGCUAACUACGUGCCAGCCGCCGCUGUAACAC
rnacentral:rRNA from 1 species